rnacentral:rRNA from 1 species
AGCGAACGCUGGCGGCAGGCCUAACACAUGCAAGUCGAACGAAGUCUUCGGACUUAGUGGCGGACGGGUGAGUAACACGUGGGAACGUACCUUUUGGUUCGGAACAACUCAGGGAAACUUGAGCUAAUACCGGAUGAGCCCUUAGGGGGAAAGAUUUAUCGCCGAAAGAGCGGCCCGCGUUAGAUUAGCUAGUUGGUGAGGUAAAGGCUCACCAAGGCUACGAUCUAUAGCUGGUCUGAGAGGAUGAUCAGCCACACUGGGACUGAGACGCGGCCCAGACUCCUACGGGAGGCAGCAGUGGGGAAUCUUGCGCAAUGGGCGAAAGCCUGACGCAGCCAUGCCGCGUGAAUGAUGAAGGUCUUAGGAUCGUAAAAUUCUUUUACCAGGGACGAUAAUGACGGUACCUGGAGAAAAAGCCCCGGCUAACUUCGUGCCAGCCGCCGCGGUAACAC